rnacentral:lncRNA from 1 species
AUGAUUAGCCACUGGAUAGAAUCGUGUGUCAGGCCAACUGGGUGGCCCUUUCAGAGCCUGGUGCCUGGGAUCCAGCCCCUGCCUGCCUCCUGGAGGACUUCCUGGCCUCCAGAACCCCCCACCUCCUGUCUGCAGGCGCCUGUGGCAUUCCCAGCUGAUUUGCAGAGAGCCAAGAUGCAUCUCAUAAAUAAAGAAUGUACUGUUCUGCAGACUGGCUGCGGCAUGGCCACGCGGGGGUGGGAAAGUCUGGAACAGACAGGAGCCACAGGAGGCAGGGAGGAUCGGACAGGGGUUGCGGGUCAGGAAGGGGACGGCGAGAGCCUGGGAAGGUGUAAUGGGACCGGGGUGGGGAGGGGGCUUUAGGAUGCCGGGAUCCGGAUGUAGACUGUUGGGACUGCAUCUUGGUUCAGACGCCCUCUAGCUGUGUUUCUUUAGCCUCAGUUUCCUUGUCUGUAACCCGGCAAUGGCAUCAAUCCCUGGCUAGCUAGCAUCAGGCCAGAACCUGGAAGCCUGUGAUGCUUAGUAAGUGUUAUUAUUUGCUCCAAGCUUCCUUAGCGUCUUCCCCAAGACCUCUGUGUGGCUUCCGCUAUGGGGAGCAAGCAGAGUGGGGUGAGGACUGCAUCUGUGUCUAGGGAGAGGGCCACAGCCUACGGGAAAGGGGAGGAAACAGGUAGAGGUGCCCAAAGUGACAGGUGAAGACACAAUCACCGCUCACAAGAGGCGGACGAGACCCCAAAAGGGGACUGCGUUUCUGCGGCCAUUUCAGGGUGGGCACUUGAAAUGCUUGAUUGGCUUCUGAAAGAGAAGGUGACCUUUGGAAGGCAGAAGAAGCCGGGGGGGGGGGGGGGGGGGGGGGGGGGGGACUGCGGGGACACUGCGGUUACACCCUCAGCUUGGCCACACUGGGAACAGAGCCCCCGGGUGAGUCAUUUUCCUUGCCUGGGUGUCUAUGAAAUGAGUGGCCAGAACCACAGUGUUUUAAGCUUUAAGGUUUAGUUCCUCUUGGGACAGGCAUGCAUCGGGGGCGUCCUGUGUGUCAGACCCUAUGCCAAGCCCUGGUGACGCCAAUCUCACAGGGUGGUUGGGCAGUGUGUGUGUGUGUGUGUGUGUGUGUGUGUGUGUGUGUGUGUGUGUACAACAGACAAGCAAAUGAAGGUAUAGAAUUCCAAACUGGGGUCAGUCAGGGAGUGUGUGUAGCUAAUGGACUUGACUUUUGCCCGGAGGUCCGGGAAGGCUUCCCGUGACCGCUGAGGCUGGGCAGGGCUGGGUCGGGAGGUGGGCGGCUGGAGGAGGAGCUUGGGGAGGGCGGAAUGCGGGCAGCAGCAGGGGCCAGCCUUGCGGGUAAAGCUGGAGAUCUUGCUUC